rnacentral:lncRNA from 1 species
UGCGCUUUUAACUGCUUGUGGUUGAGUGGCAGCAUGAGCGAGCUCUGCGUAUUCCAACCCGGCGUUAAGAAUCCUUCACUAGCUUUUCUUCCCGACGCUGCUUAUUUAUCUAUCGGUAGCAUGACGGGUAAUUGACGCCCUCGGAUGGCUUUGAGGUCGCCAUUUUUGGUUGGUGCCUUUGUCUUGGUGUCAGGACUGGGAUAUCAUCUGGGACACAUUACCCCACAGGUAUCCUGUUGGACCUCAACGAGGAAGUUGGCAACAGAGGAACCAGGAGAUGAGAGAGAUCGAUACCUACAGCCGCUGAGAGCCGGUAUUCCAACGCCAUGAGACGCCUUCUGUCGUGAGCAGUUGACAAGAAAGACCCAGCACUUACUGCAACCGGAAGGAGCGGUUCCUCCCUCGCUCGCGCAGCCGCUCUUCCCCGCCACUCCCUCGGUGCCCGCCAGCACAUUCCCAGCAAGCCCUGAGUAUAUUUGCAUAUCAACUCACUACAUUUUUUUCUUCUAACUAAAAAAUCGAAAGGACAAAUUCCAGAUUCUCCUUGUGAAGUCUUCCUUUCAGUUCAGAAGAAAUGGAAUUCGCUCUUCAACUUCAGGAAGUUGAAAUAAAGAGUUGCUUGGAUUUUGUGUUCACCUUUACCAAAAAAUGGAUUUGGUAACACUGCCACCCUGCUUUGGUGACAGAGAAAGCAAAAAGGGCUUCUGUCGUGAGUGGCACACGUAGGGCAACUCGAUUGCUCUGCGUGCGGAAUCGACAUCAAGAGAUUUCGGAAGCAUAAUUUUUUGGUAUUUGGGCAGCUGGUGA